rnacentral:rRNA from 1 species
UACAGAGACUGCAAGCGUUAUUCGGAUUCACUGGGCGUAAAGGGUGCGCAGGCGGCCGUGUGUGUCAGGUGUGAAAGCCCGGAGCUUAACUCCGGAAUUGCGCCUGAAACUACAUGGCUAGAGCAUUGGAGAGGGUAGCGGAAUUCACGGUGUAGCAGUGAAAUGCGUAGAUAUCGUGAGGAACACCAGAGGCGAAGGCGGUUACCUGGACAGUUACUGACGCUCAGGCACGAAAGCAUGGGGAGCAAAAGGG